GACGAACGCUGGCGGCGUGCUUAACACAUGCAAGUCGAACGGAAAGGCCCUGCUUUUGUGGGGUGCUCGAGUGGCGAACGGGUGAGUAACACGUGAGUAACCUGCCCUUGACUUUGGGAUAACUUCAGGAAACUGGGGCUAAUACCGGAUAGGAGCUCCUGCUGCAUGGUGGGGGUUGGAAAGUUUCGGCGGUUGGGGAUGGACUCGCGGCUUAUCAGCUUGUUGGUGGGGUAGUGGCAUACCAAGGCUUUGACGGGUAGCCGGCCUGAGAGGGUGACCGGGCACCAUGGGCCUGAGGGACGGACCAGUCUGCUACGGGAGGCAGCAGUGGGGAGUAUUGCACAGUGGGCGGAAGCCUGAUGCAGCAACGCCGCGUGCGGGAUGACGGCCUUCGGGUUGUAAACCGCUUUCGCCUGUGACGAAGCGUGAGUGACGGUAAUGGGUAAAGAAGCACCGGCUAACUACGUG
rnacentral:rRNA from 1 species